UUCCAGCCCUCGCGUACUUGUUGAAGGUUUAAUUGGUCAGGUUCGGAAGGAAGCAGCCAGGGGCUUUAUACAAGGUACCGCGAUAAGGUUGGAAUCC
rnacentral:SRP_RNA from 1 species